AUUGAACGCUGGCGGCAGGCCUAACACAUGCAAGUCGAGCGGAGCGGCGGACGGGUGAGUAAUGCCUAGGCAUCUGCCUGGUAGUGGGGGAUCACGUCCGGAACCGGGCGCUAAUACCGCAUACUAUCAGAUGAGACUAGGUCGGAUUAGCUAGUUGGUGGGGUAAAGGACUACCACGGCGACGAUCCGUAACUGGGCUGAGAGGAUGAUCAGUCACACUGGAACUGAGACACGGUCCAGACUCCUACGGGAGGCAGCGUGGGAGAAUAUUGGACAAUGGGCGAAAGCCUGAUCCAGCCAUGCCGAGUGUGUGAAGAAGGUCUUCGGAUUGUAAAGCACUUUUAGUUGGGAGGCGGUACCAACAGAAUAAGCACCGGCUAACUCCGUGCCAGCCGCCGCGGUAAUAC
rnacentral:rRNA from 1 species